AAGAAGUAGAAAGAGAAAGAGAAGAAGAAGAAGAAGAAGAAUUAUUAUCAUUAUUUCGUAAUGAAAAUAAUUUUUGUUGGAGUUCCCAGAUUUGUCUUUCUAUCUCUCUUUCUUCUUCUCCCACACCCUCUCCCCCUCUUUCUUUCUCGUUCUCUCCCUCUUGAUGACAGAGUAAAUCAAAGGCUAAGACACUCCCAAGAGAGUGACCUAUAAUAGAAACACAACCUUUUUGUUGUAAAUUUGGGUGUCGCUUUUGGAGCUCUUUGUGAAGGGAAGUUAAGGAGUCUGACACUGCCCAUACCAUUUUCUGAUAAUAUUUAUCACUCAAAUAGUACAAAACAUCCAAUACACUCUCAUUAACAACAUUC
rnacentral:ribozyme from 13 species